rnacentral:rRNA from 1 species
UACGAAGGGGGCCAGCGUUGUUCGGAAUUACUGGGCGUAAAGCGCGCGCAGGCGGCUUGGUAAGUUGGGGGUGAAAUCCCCGGGCUCAACCCGGGAAUGGCCUUCAAGACUGUCGAGCUAGAGGACGAGAGAGGUGAGUGGAAUUUCCGGUGUAGCGGUGAAAUGCGUAGAUAUCGGAAGGAACACCUGUGGCGAAAGCGGCUCACUGGACCAUUACUGACGCUGAUGCACGAAAGCUAGGGGAGCAAACAGG